CAUCAUUUAAAGAAAGCGUAAUAGCUCACUGGUCGAGUCGGCCUGCGCGGAAGAUGUAACGGGGCUAAACCAUGCACCGAAGCUGCGGCAGCGACGCUUAUGCGUUGUUGGGUAGGGGAGCGUUCUGUAAGCCUGUGAAGGUGUGCUGUGAGGCAUGCUGGAGGUAUCAGAAGUGCGAAUGCUGACAUAAGUAACGAUAAAGCGGGUGAAAAGCCCGCUCGCCGGAAGACCAAGGGUUCCUGUCCAACGUUAAUCGGGGCAGGGUGAGUCGAUCCCUAAGGCGAGGCCGAAAGGCGUAGUCGAUGGGAAACAGGUUAAUAUUCCUGUACUUGGUGUUACUGCGAAGGGGGGACGGAGAAGGCUAUGUUGGCCGGGCGACGGUUGUCCCGGUUUAAGCGUGUAGGCUGAUUUUCCAGGCAAAUCCGGAAAAUCAAGGCUGAGGCGUGAUGACGAGGCACUACGGUGCUGAAGCAACAAAUGCCCUGCUUCCAGGAAAAGCCUCUAAGCAUCAGGUAACAUCAAAUCGUACCCCAAACCGACACAGGUGGUCAGGUAGAGAAUACCAAGGCGCUUGAGAGAACUCGGGUGAAGGAACUAGGCAAAAUGGUGCCGUAACUUCGGGAGAAGGCACGCUGAUAUGUAGGUGAAGUCCCUCGCGGAUGGAGCUGAAAUCAGUCGAAGAUACCAGCUGGCUGCAACUGUUUAUUAAAAACACAGCACUGUGCAAACACGAAAGUGGACGUAUACGGUGUGACGCCUGCCCGGUGCCGGAAGGUUAAUUGAUGGGGUCAGCGCAAGCGAAGCUCUUGAUCGAAGCCCCGGUAAACGGCGGCCGUAACUAUAACGGUCCUAAGGUAGCGAAAUUCCUUGUCGGGUAAGUUCCGACCUGCACGAAUGGCGUAAUGAUGGCCAGGCUGUCUCCACCCGAGACUCAGUGAAAUUGAACUCGCUGUGAAGAUGCAGUGUACCCGCGGCAAGACGGAAAGACCCCGUGAACCUUUACUAUAGCUUGACACUGAACAUUGAGCCUUGAUGUGUAGGAUAGGUGGGAGGCUUUGAAGUGUGGACGCCAGUCUGCAUGGAGCCGACCUUGAAAUACCACCCUUUAAUGUUUGAUGUUCUAACGUUGACCCGUGAUCCGGGUUGCGGACAGUGUCUGGUGGGUAGUUUGACUGGGGCGGUCUCCUCCUAAAGAGUAACGGAGGAGCACGAAGGUUGGCUAAUCCUGGUCGGACAUCAGGAGGUUAGUGCAAUGGCAUAAGCCAGCUUGACUGCGAGCGUGACGGCGCGAGCAGGUGCGAAAGCAGGUCAUAGUGAUCCGGUGGUUCUGAAUGGAAGGGCCAUCGCUCAACGGAUAAAAGGUACUCCGGGGAUAACAGGCUGAUACCGCCCAAGAGUUCAUAUCGACGGCGGUGUUUGGCACCUCGAUGUCGGCUCAUCACAUCCUGGGGCUGAAGUAGGUCCCAAGGGUAUGGCUGUUCGCCAUUUAAAGUGGUACGCGAGCUGGGUUUAGAACGUCGUGAGACAGUUCGGUCCCUAUCUGCCGUGGGCGCUGGAGAACUGAGGGGGGCUGCUCCUAGUACGAGAGGACCGGAGUGGACGCAUCACUGGUGUUCGGGUUGUCAUGCCAAUGGCACUGCCCGGUAGCUAAAUGCGGAAGAGAUAAGUGCUGAAAGCAUCUAAGCACGAAACUUGCCCCGAGAUGAGUUCUCCCUGACUCCUUGAGAGUCCUGAAGGAACGUUGAAGACGACGACGUUGAUAGGCCGGGUGUGUAAGCGCAGCGAUGCGUUGAGCUAACCGGUACUAAUGAACCGUGAGGCUUAACCUU
rnacentral:rRNA from 1 species